rnacentral:rRNA from 1 species
UACGGGGGGUGCAAGCGUUAAUCGGAAUUACUGGGCGUAAAGCGCACGUAGGUGGUUUGCUAAGUCAGCUGUGAAAUCCCCGGGCUCAACCUGGGCACUGCAGUUGAAACUGGCAAGCUAGAGUAGGGUAGAGGGGUGUGGAAUUCCAGGUGUAGCGGUGAAAUGCGUAGAUAUCUGGAGGAACAUCAGUGGCGAAGGCGACACCCUGGACUCAUACUGACACUGAGGUGCGAAAGCGUGGGGAGCAAACAGG